CUGAUCUGCCUGUUUGUGAGGGUGAGGAGUCCUGGGCUGAAUCACUGAACUUUUGCCAAUGCAAAUUUGUUAAAUCUUCUGGGAAGUGUUUAGCAUGCAUGCUCCAACUCUCAAACUUCCAAAUUUGUGCAGAAGAAAGGCUUGCUUGGACUCAUUGCUAAUCUGCAAGAGGUGCUUGCUUGCCUUGUCCAGCUGGCAGCCUUCCCGGGUGCUGCAUCCAAGUCCCCAGGCAGCAGUCUCACAUCACAUCACCCCAGGGGAAGGACCUGUGCUGUGCACAGUGCUCACAAGAGCAAGAGAGGAGAUUGGAAAGAAGCAUUCAAGGAACCCAAGAGAAAGGAGACUGAAGUCCUCCAGAGAACUCCAAAACAAAUGGCUGUCCUGA
rnacentral:lncRNA from 13 species